GACGAACGCUGGCGGCGUGCCUAAUACAUGCAAGUCGAGCGAACGGACGAGAAGCUUGCUUCUCUGAUGUUAGCGGCGGACGGGUGAGUAACCCGUGGAUAACCUACUUAUCAGACUGGCAUAACUUCGGGAAACCGGAGCUAAUACCGGAUAAUAUUUUGAACCGAAUGGUUCAAAAGCGAAAGACGGUCUUGCUGUCACUUAUAGAUGGAUCUGCGCUGCAUUCGCUAGUUGGUAAGGUAACGGCUUACCAAGGCAACGAUGCAUAGCCGACCUGAGAGGGUGAUCGACCACACGGGAACUGAGACUCGAUCCAGACUCCUGCGCGAGGCAACAGUAGAGAAUCUUCCGCGAGGGGCCAAUGCCUGACGGUGCAACGCCGCGUGAGUGAUGAUGGUCUUCGGAUCGUAGAACUCUGUUAGUAGGGAUAAACAUAUGUGUAAGUAACUGUGCACAUCUUGACGGUACCAAAGCAGAAAGCCACGGCUAACUACGUG
rnacentral:rRNA from 1 species